rnacentral:rRNA from 1 species
AUUGAACGCUGGCGUGCUUUGGCCUAACACAUGCAAGUCGAACGGUAACAGGAAGCAGCUUGCUGCUUCGCUGACGAGUGGCGGACGGGUGAGUAAUGUCUGGGAAACUGCCUGAUGGAGGGGGAUAACUACUGGAAACGGUAGCUAAUACCGCAUAACGUCGCAAGACCAAAGAGGGGGACCUUCGGGCCUCUUGCCAUCGGAUGUGCCCAGAUGGGAUUAGCUAGUAGGUGGGGUAACGGCUCACCUAGGCGACGAUCCCUAGCUGGUCUGAGAGGAUGACCAGCCACACUGGAACUGAGACACGGUCCAGACUCCUACGGGAGGCAGCAGUGGGGAAUAUUGCACAAUGGGCGCAAGCCUGAUGCAGCCAUGCCGCGUGUAUGAAGAAGGCCUUCGGGUUGUAAGGUACUUUCAGCGGGGAGGAAGGGAGUAAAGUUAAUACCUUUGCUCAUUGACGUUAACCGCAGAAGAAGCACCGGCUAACUCC